rnacentral:rRNA from 1 species
GAUGAACGCUGGCGGCGUGCCUAAUACAUGCAAGUCGAACGCUUCACUUCGGUGAAGAGUGGCGAACGGGUGAGUAAUACAUAAGUAACCUGGCAUCUACAGGGGGAUAACUGAUGGAAACGUCAGCUAAGACCGCAUAGGUGUAGAGAUCGCAUGAACUCUAUAUGAAAAGUGCUACGGGACUGGUAGAUGAUGGACUUAUGGCGCAUUAGCUUGUUGGUAGGGUAACGGCCUACCAAGGCGACGAUGCGUAGCCGACCUGAGAGGGUGACCGGCCACACUGGGACUGAGACGCGGCCCAGACUCCUACGGGAGGCAGCAGUAGGGAAUUUUCGGCAAUGGGGGAAACCCUGACCGAGCAACGCCGCGUGAAGGAAGAAGUAAUUCGGUAUGUAAACUUCUGUCAUAGAGGAAGAACGGUGGAUAUAGGGAAUGAUAUCCAAGUGACGGUACUCUAUAAGAAAGCCACGGCUAACUACGUG